GCAGUUAUUCUGCUCGGAACCGUGAUUCUCUGAAUCACAGGAAAACAGCUGAAAAUGACAUUUGAACUGUCAAAAACAAGAGAUUUUCCUGUGGCACUGAGAGAUUGCUAACCGAUUCUCGUAUCACUCAAUUUCUCCUGAAAUUUGAAGGAACUCUCCUUCGGGUGCUCAGGAGCUCGAAAAAUUUCAGGACAACAAUCUCCUGUAUCACUGUUUUAAGUGACAGGUGUUUUCGUAUUUGCUUAUUGGAACCGCGAGGACAAAUUCAAUAAAAGCCAUCUUGAGAACUGCCCAUUUCUGCACGGGAGAGAGAUACGGCCGAAAUCCGCGGGGCUAAUGGGAAACGAUUUCUCCGAGAGGAACAGUUUUCUUCCGGAGCAUUCAUCGGCGAAGUGUGGCGUCCAUUGUUCAGAGGGUGGCUCCAAUUUUAAGGAACAGAUCCGUUUCUGGCCGCUGAACUCGAAAACCAAAUAGGCGCCUGAUGAAGAAGCUGGAGAUUGAACUGCUGGUUUUAGUGGCAUACAUUUUUUGCUAGAAAAGGCUGGAUCUAACACCACAAAAUGCAGGAACGCAGUAAUAACAGCAAUAUGAUUGUAAAGCAUUAAUCUGUUUGUUUUUCAAAGGGUAA